rnacentral:rRNA from 1 species
CGCGCACGAUAACCACGGGAAACUGUGGCUAAGAGCGCGGAUUGAGACGCAGCCCUAUCAGCAAGUUGGUAGUGUAACGGACUACCAAGGCGGCGACGGGUGACGGGAAAUCGGGGUUUGAUUCCGGAGAGGGAGCCUGAGAGAUGGCUCCCACGUCCAAGGACGGCAGCAGGCGCGAAAAUUGCCCACUCUCUCGCGAGGAGGCAGUUACGAGGCGUGACGGAAGGGCGCACCGCAAAGACGUGCGCGAACGCGAUUGGAGGGCAAGUUCGGUGCCG